rnacentral:rRNA from 1 species
GACGAACGCUGGCGGCGUGCCUAAUACAUGCAAGUCGAACGCUUCUUUCCUCCCGAGUGCUUUCACUCAAUUGGAAAGAGGAGUGGCGGACGGGUGAGUAACACGUGGGUAACCUACCCAUCAGAGGGGGAUAACACUUGGAAACAGGUGCUAAUACCGCAUAACAGUUUAUGCCGCAUGGCAUAAGAGUGAAAGGCGCUUUCGGGUGUCGCUGAUGGAUGGACCCGCGGUGCAUUAGCUAGUUGGUAAGGUAACGGCUCACCAAGGCCACGAUGCAUAGCCGACCUGAGAGGGUGAUCGGCCACACUGGGACUGAGGCACGGCCCAGACUCCUACGGGAGGCAGCAGUAGGGAAUCUUCGGCAAUGGACGAAAGUCUGACCGAGCAACGCCGCGUGAGUGAAGAAGGUUUUCGGAUCGUAAAACUCUGUUGUUAGAGAAGAACAAGGACGUCAGUAACUGAACGUCCCCUGACGGUAUCUAACCAGAAAGCCACGGCUAACUACGUG